rnacentral:rRNA from 1 species
GAUGAACGCUGGCGGCGUGCCUAAUACAUGCAAGUCGAGCGAACGGACGAGAAGCUUGCUUCUCUGAUGUUAGCGGCGGACGGGUGAGUAACACGUGGAUAACCUACCUAUAAGACUGGGAUAACUUCGGGAAGCCGGAGCUAAUACCGGAUAAUAUUUUGAACCGCAUGGUUCAAAAGUGAAAGACGGUCUUGCUGUCACUUAUAGAUGGAUCCGCGCUGCAUUAGCUAGUUGGUAAGGUAACGGCUUACCAAGGCAACGAUGCAUAGCCGACCUGAGAGGGUGAUCGGCCACACUGGAACUGAGACACGGUCCAGACUCCUACGGGAGGCAACAGUAGGGAAUCUUCCGCAAUGGGCGAAAGCCUGACGGAGCAACGCCGCGUGAGUGAUGAAGGUCUUCGGAUCGUAAAACUCUGUUAUUAGGGAAGAACAUAUGUGUAAGUAACUGUGCACAUCUUGACGGUACCUAAUCAGAAAGCCACGGCUAACUACGUG